ensembl:lncRNA
GCGCCCCUCUGCCCGCCCGCGGCCUUGCGGGAUUCGGGGUCCCCGUCCGGAGAGAGGGGCAGGGACUCUUUUUGUUCGUGUUGGGUGGGCCCGCGGCCGGUGCGGGGGCACCCUCCGGCUCUGGUCCCGGGGCCGCGAUCCCUGUGUGCGGAGUCGCCCUCGGCGGCGGCGGCGGCGGCGGCCGCGUCCGAACGUCCGGAGUUGGAGGGAGGUGUUCGGCCGGCGCAGCCUUGACUUUCUGGAAGGGGGUGGGGAGGCUGCUCGCGGCGCUAGUUUGUGGAGAAGUUGGAGGAAAGGGAGAAGAGCUCCCGGCUGGAAAAAUCCUGCAAAAAUGUCUCUGUACCCAUCUCUUGAAGACCUGAAGGUAGACAAGGUGAUUAAGGUAUGUUUUAAACACUUUUUUCCUUCCAUGUCCUCUGCCAUACAUUCUGCUUAUAGGUGAAGUGAAGCGAGAAACUUAAAUAGCAGAUGUAUUUGUUCAACUUUACACUGUAUAAACUCAGUUUUUCUAACUAGAACAUUAGAAAACUAGAGAUUUCUUCAUUUCACUGUGAAUUAAUGGGCGCGAGAUAUUUUUUCUUUGAAAUGGGACUUUAACACACUUCGGAAAUAACUUGGUUUCAUGACUGGUUUUAAUUUAAGUACAUUUUAAAGUUGGUAAUAUAUACUCCAAAUUCUUAGAUGUUCAUUGUCUUAAAAUUCCUGUGUGCUGUUGGGUUUUCAGGGAUGACCAGUCUUUGAAGUAAUUGUCUUCUCCAAAGUUAAACAUUAUUGAAACAGGGGGGCGCAAACUGCUUUAGGAGGAGGAGGAGUGUAAGAAGAGCUCAGUGAAAGCUGAGCAGUGUGUCUUCUUUUAAACGUAAGCAGCAGACAGUCUCUGCUACAGCAACAGAGUCCUGCUCCAAGUGGCUGUGUAAGACAAGUGAUUCUAACACUUUGAUUAAGUCAGGCAUUUUUGUACUCCUUUGAGUAUUAGCUUUGAAGAUAGUUGCUUCUGCUUAAGAAAGUUUGGGAAUGGGAUCAAGUCUUGCUGUUUUGUAAAUUUUUGUUAUUGGUUUUAACUGGAGAUAAUUGUAGUGUUUAGUGAGCCAUCCUGUUUCCAGUUUACUUUCAACUUGGUCUUUUAUAAACUGUUUUUAUUUCUGAACUUCUUCAGCUGUUAUUUGUUUUUCUAACUUGACAAGAUAAACUCCCUGUUACACUUUAUUCCAGAAAUCUUUUUGAUAUGAUAAAUGUGAUGAAAUUCUUUUCUGUUACAAGUUGCUAAAGUACUUCAAAGCUUCUUACCCUAAAGAUCAUUUUGUUAGAGGUCUUGGUCUCAGUUUACUCUACAUGAGAUUGACUUCCAAAUUAAUUAGCAUAAAAUGUUUAUUACAAACUUGUGAGAAGAACACAGGAAUACAAGUGUUUUUUAGACAAAAUGUUCAAGGGUAGGAAAAAAAGUCAGCAAAAAUAGUGGCAAAUGUGUGGCUGAAGUUGUUAGCCUCGUGGCAGUGAUUGGCUGAAUGUGGGGGAGAUCAUGAGCGAGUAUUUCUCAUCCUUUCUCUGUGGCUAUUCAUGGGUGGUUUGUAAAAUCUCUGCAGUCUGUUCAGUUGCCUAGGCUUUGAUGCCUGACAGUUUUAAGUGGUUUAUUCAGUCAUCUCAAAUCUGUUUUUUCUUUGCUAUUGUGUCAUUAUUUUUCUCAU